UCCGUAGGGUGCAAGCGUUGUCCGGAAUUAUUGGGCGUAAAGAGCUCGUAGGCGGUCUGUCGCGUCGGAUGUGAAAAUCCAGGGCUCAACCCUGGACCUGCAUUCGAUACGGGCAGACUAGAGUUCGGUAGGGGAGACUGGAAUUCCUGGUGUAGCGGUGAAAUGCGCAGAUAUCAGGAGGAACACCGGUGGCGAAGGCGGGUCUCUGGGCCGAAACUGACGCUGAGGAGCGAAAGCGUGGGGAGCAAACAGG
rnacentral:rRNA from 1 species